GACGAACGCUGGCGGCGUGCUUAACACAUGCAAGUCGAACGGAAAGGCCCUGCUUUUGUGGGGUGCUCGAGUGGCGAACGGGUGAGUAACACGUGAGUAACCUGCCCUUGACUUUGGGAUAACUUCAGGAAACUGGGGCUAAUACCGGAUAGGAGCUCCUGCUGCAUGGUGGGGGUUGGAAAGUUUCGGCGGUUGGGGAUGGACUCGCGGCUUAUCAGCUUGUUGGUGGGGUAGUGGCUUACCAAGGCUUUGACGGGUAGCCGGCCUGAGAGGGUGACCGGCCCAAUUGGGGCUGGGAAACCGCCCAGAGCUCCCCGGGGGGACACAGGGGGGAAAUGUGACAAAAGGGGGGGAGCCUGAAUCAGCAACCGCGGGGGGGGGAAGGAGGGUCUCGGGGUGGAAAACCGUUUCCGCGUGUGAGAAGGCGGAGGGACGGGAAAGGGGAAAAAAGCACCCGCUAAACACC
rnacentral:rRNA from 1 species